UUCUCGAUUUUUUUUUUUUUCUUGUUCUUUUUUACUCGUUUUGAACAUUACCGACGAUGGGGACAGAGACGGAAGGGAGAAUGGGAGAGAUACCGAAAGAGGUACCAUCAGAGAGAGAAGAGGAGGCAGAAGAGGAACCACGACCACCGACCAACAAGCUUUCAUCAUCAUCAUCUUCUUCUUCCAUUUUGGAGGAAUCAAAAGCGUUAUCUGGGACAGAAUAAAGAUGCAAAACAGGGCUGUUA
rnacentral:ribozyme from 13 species